rnacentral:rRNA from 1 species
CGGGAACACGUACAGAACCUUCCUUUAAGCGGGGGAGUAGCCCAUAGAAAUGUGGAUUAAUACCCCAUAGUAAUGUUGUCUGGCAUCAGGAUGAUAUUUAAAGAUUUAUCACUUAAAGAUGGCUGUGCGGCUGAUUAGGUAGUUGGUGUGGGUAACGGCCCACCAAGCCAGCGAUCAGUAACUGGUGUGAGAGCACGACCAGUCACACGGGCACUGAGACACGGGCCCG